CAAAUAAAGAAGACACAAACAUUUCUACCUUAAAAUCCAUUUAUUCAUCUCAGAGAUAUGAAAUUAACAGCUUCAUUACAUGUCAUUCAAAAAAUUUAAUAAACCUUUUAGUGUCCUUGCAAGUUACAAUAUGUCGGUACGACUACUAGAAGUUUAAAAACCUGUAUAGCAGAACAUUGCAGAAACAUAUCAAAAUGUUUUUUUUAAAUCAUUCAGUGUCUAAACAUUUUUUAACUCAUAAUAAAAACCCUAAAUGUUAAACAUUUUAUGAUAUAGAAAAAAUAUCUCCAUCCGUGUCGAGGUGGCAACCUUUCUAAAAUAC